UCACCUCUCAAGCCUGGCUUGCUGUUGGACUCGAGGUCUUGUUUUGGGCCAAGACCAGUCCUAAAGAUAAUGUCGGCGUCUGUGAGGACCCCAGUACACUGAGCUUUUAUAGCACGUACUAGGCGGGAGUCCAGACCCGUUACCUAUAUUUUCUCUUAA
rnacentral:misc_RNA from 1 species